GGGGGCAUAGUGUAGUCGGAUCUCCGUUGUUGAGUUAACCUUUGUCAAAUGGAACUCAAACUUCAUGUACAACCACAUAAACUGUUUAAGGCACGAAUAGAAAUUGAAAACAAAUUUGGAAAAUUUCGUUACCUUAUUCUCCAAAAUAGAUUUGGACAAAUUCGAGGAUUUUACACAAUGUAAAUCAAGAGAAUAACAAAUCACGCUUCUUUUCGUAAUGACUUUAUCAACCACAAUCGAAGAGUAACAAUUAAUCGGAUCAAAAUGAGGGGAUCUUUUAAGAACUAAGUCACCAAAAGUUUUAUCAAUAAUUUUCAAAUCUGC
rnacentral:lncRNA from 1 species